GAGAUUCCCCCAGUAGCGGCGAGCGAACGGGGAGCAGCCCGGAGUCUGAAUCAGCUUGUGUGUUAGUGGAAGCGUCUGGAAAGUCGCACGGUACAGGGUGACAGUCCCGUACACGAAAAUGCACAGGUUGUGAACUCGAAGAGUAGGGCGGGACACGUGGUAUCCUGUCUGAAUAUGGGGGGACCAUCCUCCAAGGCUAAAUACUCCUGACUGACCGAUAGUGAACCAGUACCGUGAGGGAAAGGCGA
rnacentral:rRNA from 1 species